rnacentral:rRNA from 1 species
UCCUACGGGAGGCAGCAGUGGGGAAUAUUGCACAAUGGGCGAAAGCCUGAUGCAGCAACGCCGCGUGAGGGACGACGGCCUUCGGGUUGUAAACCUCUUUUAGUAGGGAAGAAGCGAAAGUGACGGUACCUGCAGAAAAAGCACCGGCUAACUACGUGCCAGCAGCCGCGGUAAUACGUAGGGUGCAAGCGUUGUCCGGAAUUAUUGGGCGUAAAGAGCUCGUAGGCGGUUUGUCGCGUCUGCUGUGAAAACCCGAGGCUCAACCUCGGGCCUGCAGUGGGUACGGGCAGACUAGAGUGCGGUAGGGGAGAUUGGAAUUCCUGGUGUAGCGGUGGAAUGCGCAGAUAUCAGGAGGAACACCGAUGGCGAAGGCAGAUCUCUGGGCCGUAACUGACGCUGAGGAGCGAAAGCAUGGGGAGCGAACAGGAUUAGAUACCCUGGUAGUCCAUGCCGUAAACGUUGGGAACUAGGUGUGGGCAACAUUCCACGUUGUCCGUGCCGCAGCUAACGCAUUAAGUUCCCCGCCUGGGGAGUACGGCCGCAAGGCUAAAACUCAAAUGAAUUGACGGGG